AUCGCUUCUCGGCCUUUUGGCUAAGAUCAAGUGUAGUAUAACAGAGGGUUUCCUGGUUUUCUGUUGUUUUUUGCAGUGCUAGGGAUUGAACUCGGCCUAGUAGAGAGGCAAGUACUCCACUUCUGAGCUAUCCUUAGCCCUAUUUAAAAUUCUGAAAUUCUUAAGAUUACUAUAU
rnacentral:snRNA from 1 species